rnacentral:ncRNA from 1 species
GGAUUUGGAGAAUCCGACUGUUUAAUUAAAAUAAAGCAUUGCGAUAACCCUAACGGAUGUUGACACAAUAUGAUUUCCAGUCAACUUGAAAAAAUUCAAGUAAGCAUGAGAAAACGGCGGGAGUAACUAUGAUUCGCUUAAGGGCGUCGAUUAUAGACAGUUACUCUUCUUCGCGUAAAUGUAUCAGUCGAACUCUU